rnacentral:rRNA from 1 species
AUUGAACGCUGGCGGCAUGCCUAACACAUGCAAGUCGAACGAAGGCUUCGGCCUUAGUGGCGCACGGGUGCGUAACGCGUGGGAAUCUGCCCUUGGGUUCGGAAUAACAGUUAGAAAUGACUGCUAAUACCGGAUGAUGUCGUAAGACCAAAGAUUUAUCGCCCAAGGAUGAGCCCGCGUAGGAUUAGCUAGUUGGUGAGGUAAAAGCUCACCAAGGCGACGAUCCUUAGCUGGUCUGAGAGGAUGAUCAGCCACACUGGGACUGAGACACGGCCCAGACUCCUACGGGAGGCAGCAGUGGGGAAUAUUGGACAAUGGGCGAAAGCCUGAUCCAGCAAUGCCGCGUGAGUGAUGAAGGCCUUAGGGUUGUAAAGCUCUUUUACCCGGGAUGAUAAUGACAGUACCGGGAGAAUAAGCUCCGGCUAACUUCGUGCCAGCAGCCGCGGUAAGAC